AUUGAACGCUGGCGGCAUGCUUUACACAUGCAAGUCGAACGGCAGCGCGGGCUUCGGCCUGGCGGCGAGUGGCGAACGGGUGAGUAAUGCAUCGGAACGUGCCCAGUAGUGGGGGAUAGCCCGGCGAAAGCCGGAUUAAUACCGCAUACGACCUGAGGGUGAAAGCGGGGGACCGAAAGGCCUCGCGCUAUUGGAGCGGCCGAUGUCGGAUUAGCUAGUUGGUGGGGUAAGGGCUUACCAAGGCGACGAUCCGUAGCUGGUCUGAGAGGACGACCAGCCACACUGGGACUGAGACACGGCCCAGACUCCUACGGGAGGCAGCAGUGGGGAAUUUUGGGCAAUGGGGGCAACCCUGAUCCAGCCAUGCCGCGUGCGGGAAGAAGGCCUUCGGGUUGUAAACCGCUUUUGUUCGGGAAGAAAUCCUCUGGGCUAAUACCCCGGGGGGAUGACGGUACCGGAAGAAUAAGCACCGGCUAACUACGUG
rnacentral:rRNA from 1 species